CCGAGGCUGGGCUGACUCUCCACCUCCCCGGGACGUUCCAGGUGGCUUCCUGACAACCGAGCACCCUGCCUUUCUUUAUCUGUGGUGUGGAAGUGGCCCUCCCACCCCAUGUGGAUGGAGGGUGACCUGGGAGUGGGGCCUCCACCUGCCCAGGCGGUGAGAGCGGCACCCCAUCCUGCUGUCACCGCAGGAACCAAAGGCCCUGACCUGGGAGGCUGCGGGAGGAGGUGGCUGAGAGCCGGCAGGGGGGCCAGGGUCCCCUGGGCGGGCAGCUCAGCUGGAGCCGGCUCCAGGUGGCUUGGGAGGCUACUGAGCCUGUUUCCCCCUGUCACAACGCGGAGCUGCCAGCCCUCCCCCUGGGCUUGGGGACACAGCUGACCCGCUGGGGCCGACUCUCCUUGGCAGGUCCCCAGGCCCCUGUGGUCUGGGCCACAUCUGCACCCUCACCGUCUACCUGCCCUCCACACUGGCCGGCUGUUUUGUCUCUGGAGGGACGACGACAUCAACUGAUUCUCUAACCAGUGACCAGGGCGGGUGGCUCUGUGGCUGGACGCCCGCCCGCACCUCCCUGCCUCAGUUGGAUGCCCAGGGCUGCCGAAAUAAAACACGUCAAAUUUAAAAACCAAUGUAUGCCUGGAAGGAACCUGCCAAUCACCGGCAGAAAUGGAAAUCUGGGGUCCCAGCCCAAAUGCGACUAUCCCCAGGGGACAGCAGUGUGCGGGAUGGACACCUGGCCGAGGGCCCCCCAGCGCUGCCCCAGCUGGAGGACCUUAACCACGGGAGAGCCACUGCUGGGCUCUGCUGAAGGACAGCCUCCUGCUCAGCACAAAGGCCCCACAAGCUGCACAAAACCACAGGCUCGGGAGGCCCCUCUGCAGAGCCUCCGGCCUUCCAGGGCGAGGUCCAACAACCCUGAUGGGCCUUUGGGAGUGGGCGGGCCGCCUCUCCUCCUGCAGGCGACAGCACCGGCCCACGGAGCCCAGAACGCACCUGCUCCAGCCACUGCACCUCCGCCAGCCCCAGCCAGGCCCUUCCACCUCUGGCCUCAGUUUCCCCAUCUGAAACCUGGGCGCACACCCUGACCUGGAGGUCUGAGGGGUCCUGACAGCACGGAGCAGCGCCCACCGUGAGUGAAGGCCCAGAGGCCCGGAGGACAGCGGCAGAGGGCGUAGGCGGAGGGCUGCCGUCUCCGACAUUCUUCAAUUAUUCAAGCAACAAUCGCACCCUUAUUUAAAGUCUAGUCUUGCAUCCGCCGCACCCGGCAGCGAGCGCCAGGGCCUGCUGGUGAUCCACGCGGGGAGCGCUCCCUCUCGCAAAGUCAAUUAAUUAAGCAAACACUUUGCCAGCAAGUUCUCAGGUGUGCAGCCGGGAGGCCCCUGGUCUCGGCCCGCCGCCUCGGAGACACUCGAUCCACAGGGCUGCGGCCGGCGGCCUGCGUCAGCUGGUGAGGGGCAGCGGCCGGACAGGCCCACGGGCGGGGAAACCAAGGAGUCUCCCAGGCCGCCACCCCACCCUUGUCCUCGCUCCCCGGACCGUUCCUGUCUGCCAAGCGGAGGAGGGGUGGCUGCGCAGGUCUUGGGGUGCAAGGGAAGUUGGGGGUCAAGUCCAGGCCACCUGCCGUCCUCUCCCGGGCUGAGCCCUUUCCAGCCCCUGUGUGGCCGCCAUCCAGCGGUACAGGCCCCUCUCUCCCUGGCAGGACUGAGCACCCAGAGGAAGUAUGGCCCAUAGGCAGGUUCCAGCCACCACUGGGGCCCGUGGCCUCUGCCGGGCAGCAGCAACAACCCGUCCUGAGGCCCACCAGGCCUAUUCAGCUCCCGGAGCCCCGCAUGAGCAGGAUGAGGAGGAGGACAGUUGGCCAGAGCAGGUCUGCCACAGGCGAGGACAGGACUCCAGAGACUAAAGGACUCAGGCCAGGCCAGGCCCGGAGGGCGUGGUCAGGGAAGGACUCUAGGUACGGGGGCCCGGGCCUUAAGAAGGGCCAGGCUGGCCCUCAGAGGCAGCUGUGCACAGUGGACUUCAAGUCCUUGGCCAGGUCCCUUAGACUUCAACUCCCUUUUCUGCUCCUUCCCUUCUCGAAAACUCCUGCAUGCUGGCCAAGCUACUCAGGAGGCCGAGGCAGGAGGAUUCCAAGUUCCAGGCCAGCCUGGUGACUCAGCCAGGCCCUGCCUCAAACAAAAAUAAAUUCCAAAGGUCUAGGAAUGCAG
rnacentral:lncRNA from 1 species